AGUCCACACUCCAGCAGCAAUACACUAAAAUUGGAGCAGCACAGAGAAGACUAGCAUGGCUUCUAGCAAGGAGGACACGAAAUCUGUGAUGUGUUGGGUUGUUUU
rnacentral:snRNA from 1 species